rnacentral:rRNA from 1 species
AUGUACUGCUCGCGUAAUUGGGAGAUAUUAUCAGCUGAAUUCAGAGGAGUACAUUGUAUUGUGAAAGAUCGGGCCAAAUCAGUAGCACGACGAGGUUGUGCUUUCAUCAGUUGGUAUUCGGACCAAAGAUUGUUCACGGGUGGACUUAUACUACUUGACUCAUAUACCCUGGAGCGAUACAAGGCAUAUCACCAAAGGCGUGAUCAUGCUCAGGAAGCAAUUGAUGUGAAGGUACUCAAUGACCAAGACAAAGCAGGCAUGGACAUUCAACAUGCUGAAUUUUUGGCAUCGACAGUUUCUGCGGAUGCAUAUGCUGAGAAGAUAGACUUGACGCCGAGGAGGGUUUCGUUUCAGGGAGGAGAGGAUGAUAUGGCAAACACUAGAUCUAUUUGUACCGUCGACCACCAUUACAUACAAGAAGUUGGUCUGGUUUAA